AUUGAACGCUGGCGGCAGGCCUAACACAUGCAAGUCGAGCGGAGCGGCGGACGGGUGAGUAAUGCCUAGGAAUCUGCCUGGUAGUGGGGGAUACCGUCCGGAAGCGGGAGCUAAUACCGCAUACUAUCAGAUGAGCCUCGGGCGUAUUAGCUAGUGGGGGGGGUAAAGGCCUACCAAGGCGACGAUCCGUAACUGGUCUGAGAGGAUGAUCAGUCACACUGGAACUGAGACACGGUCCAGACUCCUACGGGAGGCAGCAGUGGGGAAUAUUGGACAAUGGGCGAAAGCCUGACCCAGCCAUGCCGCGUGUGUGAAGAAGGUCUUCGGAUUGUAAAGCACUGUAAGUUGGGAGGCGUUACCUACAGAAUAAGCACCGGCUAACUUCGUGCCAGCAGCCGCGGUAAUAC
rnacentral:rRNA from 1 species